CCAGACUCCUACGGGAGGCAGCAGUGGGGGAUAUUGCACAAUGGGGGAAACCCUGAUGCAGCGACGCCGCGUGGGUGAAGAAGUAUUUCGGUAUGUAAAGCCCUAUCAGCAGGGAAGAAGAAAUGACGGUACCUGAGUAAGAAGCACCGGCUAAAUACGUGCCAGCAGCCGCGGUAAUACGUAUGGUGCAAGCGUUAUCCGGAUUUACUGGGUGUAAAGGGAGCGCAGGCGGCACGGCAAGCCUGAUGUGAAAGCCCGCGGCCCAACCGCGGGACUGCAUUGGGAACUACCGGGCUGGAGUGCCGGAGGGGCAGGCGGAAUUCCUGGUGUAGCGGUGAAAUGCGUAGAUAUCAGGAGGAACACCGGUGGCGAAGGCGGCCUGCUGGACUGCAACUGACGUUGAGGCCCGAAAGCGUGGGGAGCAAACAGGAUUAGAUACCCCUGUACA
rnacentral:rRNA from 1 species